ensembl:lncRNA
CGGAAACAACAAGUAUGCCGGCUCACUGUGCUGCAUACAGUUACAUACUGUGUCGUACGAUUGAGACAAGGAAACUUGGAAUGACUUUUCAUAGGUUUCCCAGAGACUAUGGGUUGAGGAGGAAUUGGAAGUUUGUCAGCUUAGACCUGGUGUCAUUCCAUCAGUGUUAAACUUCCCGGCUCAUCUUGGAAGAGUACGUGCCAGAAAGACCACGACCAAGCAGCCUUGAGAUCUUAGGCAGCGUCUCCCUCAGACUAAAGAACUACAGACUCUUCACAACCUGCUCAAACUCUUGGUACAGGACCUCACCACACGGGUCAAGAAGGUUUCUGUCUCAUUUCUACUCUGAAGCUCACCUUCUCCUGCUCAAACUGCUGACAAAUGUUUCUGCUGCUCUAAAGUCUGGUCUCCAGAACUUCCUAAAAACUCUCAAAGUCUCUUCUGCUGCAGGUUGCUU